rnacentral:rRNA from 1 species
GACGAACGCUGGCGGCGUGCUUAACACAUGCAAGUCGAACGGAAAGGCCCUGCUUUUGUGGGGUGCUCGAGUGGCGAACGGGUGAGUAACACGUGAGUAACCUGCCCUUGACUUUGGGAUAACUUCAGGAAACUGGGGCUAAUACCGGAUAGGAGCUCCUGCUGCAUGGUGGGGGUUGGAAAGUUUCGGCGGUUGGGGAUGGACUCGCGGCUUAUCAGCUUGUUGGUGGGGUAGUGGCUUACCAAGGCUUUGACGGGUAGGCGGCCUGAGAGGGUGACCGGCCACAUUGGGACUGAGGUACGGCCCAGACUCCUACGGGAGGCAGCAGUGGGGAAUAUUGCACAAUGGGCGGAAGCCUGAUGCAGCAACGCCGCGUGCGGGAUGACGGCCUUCGGGUUGUAAACCGCUUUCGCCUGUGACGAAGCGUGAGUGACGGUAAUGGGUAAAGAAGCACCGGCUAACUACGUG